CGGAGCGUAGUAUAGUGGUAGUAUAUGUGCUUUGGGAGCAUAAGGUCUGGGUUCGAUUCCCAGCGCUCCGA
rnacentral:tRNA from 1 species